GACGAACGCUGGCGGCGUGCUUAACACAUGCAAGUCGAACGGGAUUUAGUAGACAGAAGCCUCGGCUAAAGAUUACUAAUGAGAGUGGCGAACGGGUGGGUAACGCGUGAGCAACCUGCCUAUGACAGUGGGAUAGCCUCGGGAAACCGGGAUUAAUACCGCAUAAAAUCGUAGAAACACAUGUUUCAACGGUCAAAGAUUUAUCGGUCAUAGAUGGGCUCGCGUCUGAUUAGCUAGUUGGUGAGAUAACAGCCCACCAAGGCGACGAUCAGUAGCCGGUCUGAGAGGAUGAACGGCCACAUUGGAACUGAGACACGGUCCAAACUCCUACGGGAGGCAGCAGUGGGGAAUAUUGCACAAUGGGGGAAACCCUGAUGCAGCGACGCCGCGUGAACGAAGAAGGUAUUCGUAUCGUAAAGUUCUGUCCUAUGGGAAGAUAAUGACAGUACCAUAGAAGAAAGCUCCGGCUAAAUACGUG
rnacentral:rRNA from 1 species